AAAAUAAAAAUCUUAAUAAAAUAUUAAAAUAAAAACCUUAAUUAAAUCCUAGUCAAAUCUUAAUAAAAUCCUAAAUAAAUCCUAGUGAAAUCCUAACAAAUCCUUACCAAAUCCUAAUCCAAUCCUAAACAAACCUUAACCAAAUCCUAGUCAAACUCUAAACAAAUCCUAAUCAAAUCCUAAAAAAAUCCUAAACAAACCUUAACUAAAUCUUAGUCAAAUCCUAAACAAAUCUUUAAAAAAUUUUAACCAAAUUCUAAACAAAUCCUAA
rnacentral:lncRNA from 1 species